UGAUCAUGAGGUGAUCUUUGCAGCCAC
rnacentral:piRNA from 1 species